CUCAUGGUUUCACGGUAUUGCAAUGAGAACAAUUUAAAACCCUUAGCGAGAAUCAAGUGGAGGACAAGUCUGGUGCCAGCACCCGCGGUAAUUCCAGCUCCACUAGCGUAUAUUAAAGUUGUUGCAGUUAAAAAGCUCGCAGUUGAACCUCUGUCUGGGGCUAGUUUUGGCUUUGGUCAGGCUAGUUCUAGGCAUCCGCCUACAAGACUUAGAGGGCAUUCAGUUGUUCACUAGGAGGAGUAGGCAUUUUACUUUGAAAAAAUUAGAGUGUUUAAGGCAGGCAAUCGCCCGCAUAUAUUAGCAUGGAAUAAUAGAAUAGGACACUUUUCCAUUUCGUUGGUUAUUGGAAUCGUGUAAUGAUUAAUAGGGACAGUUGUGGGCAUUUGUAUUUAAUUGUCAGAGGUGAAAUUCUUGGAUUUAUUAAAGACAAACUAACGCGAAAGCAUUUGCCAAGGAUGUUUUCAUUAAUCAAGUACGAAAGUUAGGGGAUCAAAGACGAUCAGAUACCGUCCUAGUCUUAACUAUAAACUAUUCCGACUCAAUGUUUGACUGGCUUAUAUAACCAGUUGAGCGUUGUAUGAGAAAUCAAAGUCUUUAGGUUCUGGGGGGAGUAUGGUUGCAAAGCUGAAACUCAAAGGAAUUGACGGAAGAGCACAACCAGGAGUGGAUUCUGCGGCUUAAUUUGACUCAACACGGGGAAACUUACCAGGUUAAAACAAUAGUGGGAUUACAGUUUGAGAGCGCUUUCUUGAUUGGUUGGGUGGUGGUGCAUGGCCGUUCUUAGUUGGUGGAGUGAUUUGUCUGCUUAAUUGCGUUAACGAACGAGACCUUAACCUGCUUACUAGACUGGCGAUCAUCAAUCGUUAGCUCUUCUUAGAGGGACUUUGGUUGUUUUAACUCCAAGGAAGUUUGAGGCAAUAACAGGUCUGUGAUGCCCUUAGAUAUCCUGGGCCGCACGCGUCAUACAAUGACUAGUUCAGAAAGUUUUCUCCUGACCCGAAAGGGGAUGGGUAAUCUUGAUAAUACCAGUCGUGUUAGGGAUCGAUCUUUGCAAUUAUAGAUCUUGAACGAGGAAUUCCUAGUAAGUGCGGUUCAUCAGACCGUACUGAUUACGUUCCUGCUCUUUGUACACACCGCCCGUCGCUUCUACCGAGUGGGUGGUCCGGUGAGAUAAUUGAACUUCGCAGGUAACUGAGAGGAAAGAUUAUCAAACCUAUCCACCU
rnacentral:rRNA from 1 species